AGAGGCAGAAGUAAACCAGCAUACCCCCUGCUGAUGCUGGUGAAACUACAAGAGAUUACGCAGGCUCAGGCUUUAGUCUUACAUACAGACAUGGUCCUCACCCAAGAGGGGAUAUGAAAUGACCCAUAACUGAGAUUCAUAUGGAAUAUACGGAAGCUAUACUCCUACAUGAUGAGAAUUUGCUGGUAACUACCCUGUUCUCCCUCCCUGCCUCUGAAGAGGUGGAGUCAUCUGUCAUCCUUCACGUAUCAAAGCACAGCCACCAACUGUGAGAGUAGGCCUGAGGCUUCUUCCAGAAGAACAAAGGCUUCAGCAGCCAACUCAGCCACAGCAUCACCUGCAUAGAUCCCUGUGCCAGCCAGAGCACCCCAUGAGAGAAGACAUGCCUGCCUAAAAACAAUGCUGACACUAGGGCUCCAGACAGAAGCUGUGUGGAAUUAUCCAUCUCCUUGUAACAGGGAUGUGAGUUUCUGUG